rnacentral:rRNA from 1 species
UUGUUGUUUCCUGGGCGGGUUCGCUCGCCACCAGGACCACAAUAUAAACCUUUUUUAUGCAGUUGCAAUCAGCGUCAGUAUAACAAAUGUAAAUCAUUUACAACUUUCAACAACGGAUCUCUUGGUUCUGGCAUCGAUGAAGAACGCAGCGAAAUGCGAUACGUAGUGUGAAUUGCAGAAUUCAGUGAAUCAUCGAAUCUUUGAACGCACAUUGCGCCCUUUGGUAUUCCAAAGGGCAUGCCUGUUCGAGCGUCAUUUGUACCCUCAAGCUUUGCUUGGUGUUGGGCGUUUUUGUCCCCCCCAAAAGGGGGACUCGCCUUAAAAGGAUUGGCAGCCGGCCUACUGGUUUCGCAGCGCAGCACAUUUUUGCGCUUGCAAUCAGCAAAAGAGGACGGCAAUCCAUCAAGACUCCUUCUCACGUUUGACCUCGGAUCAGGUAGGGAUACCCGCUGAACUUAAGCAUAUCAAUAA